rnacentral:rRNA from 1 species
GACGAACGCUGGCGGCGUGCCUAAUACAUGCAAGUUGAGCGCUGAAGGUUGGUACUUGUACCAACUGGAUGAGCAGCGAACGGGUGAGUAACGCGUGGGGAAUCUGCCUUUGAGCGGGGGACAACAUUUGGAAACGAAUGCUAAUACCGCAUAAAAACUUUAAACACAAGUUUUAAGUUUGAAAGAUGCAAUUGCAUCACUCAAAGAUGAUCCCGCGUUGUAUUAGCUAGUUGGUGAGGUAAAGGCUCACCAAGGCGAUGAUACAUAGCCGACCUGAGAGGGGGAGCGGCCACAGUGGGACUGAGACACGGCCCAAACUCCUACGGGAGGCAGCAGUAGGGAAUCUUCGGCAAUGGACGAAAGUCUGACCGAGCAACGCCGCGUGAGUGAAGAAGGUUUUCGGAUCGUAAAACUCUGUUGGUAGAGAAGAACGUUGGUGAGAGUGGAAAGCUCAUCAAGUGACGGUAACUACCCAGAAAGGGACGGCUAACUACGUG